UUUUCUUAGAAACAAUCUAUUGUGCACUAGAUAAACAAUAACAGCAAAAACAAAGGUGCUAACAAAGAACAUCUGGUUUGGUUUAAGUUCUCGCUAAUUCUCAUUUAACAGAAGUAAUCCCGCUUUCAGUCCUUGCCUAGACAUAAACUUUAGCUACAUAUCAAAAUGUCAGAUGGAAGUAUCCAUAUUAACUAACUUCAAUGACUGUUAAGACCCUAAUCUGGACUGAUAUGCAAGACAUUUCAUUUGUUGAUUACGAACACAUUGAACAAACAAUAUUUUCAUUGCCUAAUUUGCUGACCAAAUAAGAAUAAGAACGUAGCACUCAAUAAUUGUAAUAGGAAAAGAAGAAUCAACACCUAGUGUUUAAGUAAGCUACUCCAUUACUUGUAGCCACAUUUGUCUUCCAAGUUUUUGAGGUGUUUAAUAUCAAGUACUGCAUCAGUGGAGAAUCAAAACAUAGUCAUGAGACAAGCACAUUUAUUUUUAAAGAUGAUACUGCAAGCAGGGCAAGGCCAGCAGUUAAAUAAGGGGAAGAAACUGUUGUUACAAGAGCAUUUUAUAAAAUAAAUUAUACUUUCAAACUAAAUUUAUUAUUAACUUACAAGCUUUAAUCCAUACUCAUAUGUAUUAAUGACUACAUUCAAAAUUUUCAUUUGUAUUAAUUACUACAUUCAGAAUUCUCAUUAAUGAGUUUUAAUUUUAUUCUAAUUUAUCUAUCUAAACAAUUUUGCUUAAAAAUCAUUACACAAAAUCAAAUUGGGGAAUAUUAA
rnacentral:misc_RNA from 1 species